GGGAAGGCCUCGCGUGGGGAGGGCAUCUGGGCGCUGGUUCCAAGGCUGUCGCUGCGCAGGGAGAAGAGGAGGAGGGCAGAGCCUAGGGGUGGUGGGCCGGGGGCUUGUUGUUCUUCUGGUGGCAUCUGGUCGCAACAGGGGAGUGGGUCACAGUGAUCAAGAGGCGCCACCGAGCAAAGACAGAGGCGGCUCUGAGCAGAGCCAGGGGCUCACGAAGAAAUGACGAGAUGACGGCUCCCGGAACGGAGCGCAGAGCCCACCCACAGGGAUGGGAGAGAACUGAGGAGGAAGUGACUGAAUCCAGGGCUGCGAAUCUUCCAGGAAAGAGGGACCACCUGGGAUCUGCAGGCGACCCCAGCGUGGAGAGCAAGUCCCGUGGCCCAAGGUCAGAGCUGGGGGGAGAACGUUCUGGAAGAGGAAUGAGGAGCCAGGAGGACAUCUAUCCUCACUUCCGGGCCCCAGUGAUGGGGGGUGUGGGAGAUGAGACAGUGCCACCGGGGGCUCCAGGGGCAGCAGUGCGCCCAGGGGACAGGCAGCUUCAGGCCGGGCAAGAAGGGGAAGGGACCCGUCUAGGAGAGGCAUAGGGGGAGGCGGACGCUGCUGACGCCCAGGCCCCCUCGCCCGCCUCUGCACCCGUCCCUCUCUGCACCUCUGCCUGGGGUUUCUCAGGCUCAGCCCGUGCACAGGGCCCCCUGGAGGAGUCCCCGUUCAGCAGCCCCGGGUGACUCUCAGACAGCAAGGGGAGGGGUCAGCAGAUGACGACCCCAGUCCCCAGCCUGCUCAGCCCUGGGAGGACGGGCCUUACACACAUUCUGCACAGCUCCCCAGAGGGUCUCCGGUGGGCUGCAGCCCCAGGUGCCACCACGGUCACCAGCUCAUGACAGCACACGCAGCGGCUUUUCUCUCCUGUCCCGGGGCCUGCUCCCUCUCCUGGCCUUCCUGGGUUCGCUCGCAUAAACUACCUGCCCGCGGGUCCUCAUCUCGGGCUCGGCUUUCAGGGGGAACCCAAACCAAGCCACGGGACGCAGCCGAGGCCUGAUGUGAGCUCCAAAGGCCACAGCGGGAAGGCUGUCGGGGAGGAUGGGAUGGAGACGAUGCAGAAAGCAGCGGGAGUGCGGGGCGAGCAUCCAGGGUGCAAGGGGGACCUCGGGCUCCUCAAGGGGCUGAUGUGACAGAGAAGGGGGGGUUGGAGGGCUGGUCCUGAACAUCAGGGCAGAGCGGUGGGGGGCACGAGGCUGGGAAGGGGCCAUGGUCUCUCCAGAAGCACCCGAGAGCCCUCCUCGCUGGUGGCAGUGGCGGUGGCAGCCCUCCGAGAGCACAAGUGCACGUCGUGAAGCAGACGAUUUAACUUCAUCCCGGUGGGAAAAAGAGGACCCAGAAAUCGUGCUCCUUGGUAUUUACUCAAAGGAGUGGAAAACUCAUGUCCACACCAAAGCCUGCACAUGGAUGCUUACAGCAGCUUUAGCCAUACUUGCCAGACCUUGGAAGCAGCCAAGGUGUCCUUCCAUAGGUGAGCGGAUAAAUAAACUGCAGUCCAUCCAGACAAUGAAAUACUACUCAGCGCUAAAAAGAAGGAGCUCUCAAGUCGUGAAAAGACAUAGAGGAAACCCAGGUGCAUAUUACUAAGUGAAAGAAGCCUAUCUGAAAAGGCCACGUACAGCAUGGUCCCAACUGGAUGACAUUCCGGAAAACGCAAAACUAUAGGGACAGUCAAAAGGCCAGGAGCUGGCAGGGGUUGGGGGGUGAUGCACAGAUGGUCAGGGCGGUGGUGGCAGCUGCCAGCCCAAGGGCUCGGUCCGGGUGUCAGAGGACAGAGGUGGUGGAGGAGUCCGGUGGGCCCUCCUGGGCUGCACCCACAGGAGGGGACUCCCUCCAUCGUCUGUCUCUGGGCCACGCCUGGGCAUGCGGGUUGCAUCUGGUUGGAUAAUAAGAUCGAGAAGACCUGCUUGCACGUCCCCCUCCCCUGGAGCCAGAAUAAAGCUCCCCCUGGAGGGGCCUUUCAGGGACAAGACACAUUCCCACGGGACCCGUUCCUGGCCCUCUGUCCAAAUGCAGGUUGUCGGUGACCUGACCCAAGGGACAGCCCACUCUGUUAUCAGCCACCAGCCCGGCAUUGUGGCGGCUUAUCAGAGCCGCUCCGGUUACCCACGGGGAGAGCCUGGUGGCCGCCCGCUCUAUCCUCCCAGCCUGCCCGCCUGGCCCGGCCUCAGGGGCCCCUCCUCUCCAGCUGUCGGUCCAGCGGCAUCACCCACAGCCUCCUGGAGCCCUGGGGUUCUGCGAAGGUGCCCAGAGACCAUCUUUCAGGGGCAGGGGCAGGAGGGGCUCCAGACCCCCAAUUCCCUUCGUAACCAUUACACCGGGAGACCUUGCAGGGUUUCUCUGAGAAAUGACUCCGGCUCCAACACGAUGAACCUUGAGGAUAUUAUGCUAAGUGAAGUAAGCCACACACAAACACAGAAACCGUAUGAUCCCA
rnacentral:lncRNA from 1 species